GUGAGACAACAUGCUAAAUGUCACAAAGCUUAUGAUUCCCACUGACAUCCGGCCGAGUGUCUCGAAUAAAGGCACCCAGGAUGGUGGCAAGCCUUUGCUUUUAAUGUUUUCUCUUUUACACAAGUUUUGAUCAAUUUGAUUGAGUGCCAGGCACUGUGAACGUAUACAUACUAUUUCCUGUAACCUGGCAAGAACUUAGGUGAGUCCUACAGCUCCCUUAUCCUCACUGUAACAUAAGAGUGAUAUCCUUCAUCUGUAUGGUUGGACCGUUCACCGUGUGUGUGCACGAGAACACACUGCCUACAGGAGGACGCACUCAUGGACUCCGUGGUCCUUGCAACAGUAAGGAACCUGAAGUCAUUGGACCAAAUAGUAUGAGCAAUGGCUUCUAGCCCUCAUUGUCCUGGAUAUUUGAUUCUGGACUUUGCAGAAUGGACCAAGUUGGAUCUAAGGAUGCUGAGAAGUCUGGCAAGUGGGGGAGAUGGUGGGGUGCCAAUGAUAGGUGGGGGAAGCUCGGCUUCUGAUGGUCGUCUUGCCCAACUUCUGUAAGGCUUCAUGGCCUCCAAUCCCAAUACACAGACGCUCAUCUUGCCUGAGUCACAUGCUUCAGACUCCUGGGCGUAGUUGUGUGUCUUUGAAUAGAGAGAGAUUCUUUAUCCUCAGCGCUUUCUCCGAUGCCAAGAUUGACUUUCACCUUUUAGGACACAUUCAGUUCCACUGGCAUAAGUGUGACUCCAACAGGUUUAAGCAAAACAGAGAAAACAAUAAGGCACCUAUUGGUCAGUCUAGAAGUCCAAGGGUUAACAGCGUUGAGCACAGCUGAAUCGGGGGCACAAAUGACAUCGGUUUUAGAAUCCUAUCUUUCCAAGGCUUCCCCCUCCUCUCCACCCUCCCUCUACUCUCUGCCCCUCCCCUGGUGACUUCUCUCUAGACUCUCCUCUUUCUCCGCUUCUCCAUAAUGUCACCUCCCUCUUCCCAUCUCCCUCCCCACAACUCCCCCUCCCCCAGCUAAUUAAAUGAUACAGCGCAA